rnacentral:rRNA from 1 species
UACGAAGGUGGCAAGCGUUGCUCGGAUUCACUGGGCGUACAGGGUGUGUAGGCGGUUUGGUAAGCCUUCUGUUAAAGCUUCGGGCCCAACCCGGAAAGCGCAGAGGGUACUGCCAGGCUAGAGGACGGGAGAGGAGCGCGGAAUUCCCGGUGUAGCGGUGAAAUGCGUAGAUAUCAGGAGGAACACCGGUGGCGAAGGCGGCUUCCUGGACAAAAACUGACGCUGAGGCGCGAAAGCUAGGGGAGCAAACAGG